UUUCUCUGGGCAGUGCCAUGUAUGACAUGGAAACACAAGAGGUGGCAAUUGUGUUUCUUGGGGGGGUCUGUGGCACAGGAGAGACUCCUCUCUCCCUUGAUGCACUGAGUAUUGAUUAUCUGAAGGGUGCUAACCUGAUUGGGGGUCCAAGUUGUGUCUCACUAUGGUUUGUAGGAAUUGGCGGGGGGGAGGAGGAAUGUUUUGGAAGGUUUUCAUUUUAUAUUUAGUGUGUGUUUUUCUUUUUUCCUUUUAUGGUAGUAGCAGUUUAAAAAGUUUUUCCUUUGUUAUUAAGCUUGGACCUGCUCUGCUCUGUUCCUGAUCGCAUCUCACAGCAUUCAUUUGGGAGGUUGCAUUUUCAUGGGGGCGCUGGCAUUGUGCCAGUGUCAAACCAUGACACAUGGGGACACAUGGACACACAUGGACAUGGAGGGGGACGGGGGCAUUUGUGGGGACAUGGGGGGACACAGGCAUAGAUGGAGACAUGGGGGACAAUGUCAGGGAUGGAAACAUGGUGGGGAGACAGCCAUGGGUGAGGACAUGGUGGGACAUGGCCAGUGACAUGUGGGGACAUGGCCAUGGCCGGUGCCAUGGAGGGAACUUGGCAGGGCAUGCGGGGGAUGCUGGGUUUGAGGGAGUUGAGGGUUCCUGGGAGGGACUUGGGCCUUGUUGAGGCCUUUGGGGAGCCCAGGCCGAGCGGCUCCAGCUGCGCUGGGAGACCCUGGUGGAGGUUCUGGGGCAGCUGCUCAAGGACCCCUGACCUGGAGCCCCAGCCGGGCAUUGGGCUCCUGGAAGGGGAUGAACAUCCUUGUCCCCAGGAGGGAAAUCCCAGCACCACCAGGGUUUUGGGGGCAGCUGAGGGGCCACAACGUGGAGGGGAAAGCCCAACAGAGGUGUCACAGUCCUAAGCUAAAUCCCAAAAGCCCCAAAACUCAGGGAUUCCUCCCAGGAAAAAGCAGCCAGGCGGGGUCUGAAUUGAGAGAAAGGGGGGAUGUUACCCCCAGACUGAGCAGGAGGAUCCUGGAACCCCCAAAACCAAGCACGGGGUACAGGAGUGGUGGGCUGGGGGGCAGUGGGAAAGGGGCAGAAGAGCAGGGGAAAAGGAAGCUGCAACCCCGGAAGAUUGGGGGAUGGGGCAGGGAUCCCAACAUUGCGAUUGGAGGGGUCCCACACCUCCUCUUUCAAACCCCACAUACUUCUCUCUGAUCUUUCUCUGCCCUCCUCCAUCUCCUCCUCCUCCUCCAUCUAUUCUCAUGUGCCCACCCCCCCUUCCAGCCCACCCUUGGAACUCACCCCUCCAUUUUCCCAACGCUGUCAUAUCCCAAGGGAGGAGCUGGGAUGGAGCUGGGGUAGGUCAGGCUUGGGCAGCACUGGGCUCUGGGCCUGGCCUGGGCAUCCCCAUAUGUCCUCUCCCCAAAUUCCCUUGGUGGCUUUUGGGGAUCCCAGCACCUUUUGGGGUUUGCUAGGUGUUGUGUUGGGGUUCAAGUGCCUCCCAAGGAGUCCCCAGAGUGGGGUGACAUUGGGGAAACACAUGUGGGUCCCCAUUUCCAAUCCAUCCUGGGGCCAGCUCUGCCCUCUCCAAUCACAGCCCCUCCCAAAUCCCUUCCCAGCGCCCCCAAUAAAUGGCACAGGGGCAAACUGGGAAGCUUUACCGGUGUGAAAGACAAUAGCAUAGUUUUUGUUCAUCAGGAAAAACCCCAGGGAUUGUGUAAGUCGCAGGAAACAGUGGGGCAGGAGGGCAGGAUGUACUGCUAUUAGUAGACAGUGGAAUUGAGAGCUCUUUGAAGGCUGCGUUACCAUAUUUGGAGAAGUUAUUGCAGGGUUAACGCUACCUCGGAGGAAGAAGAAUAGGAGCUUUCCUCAAACAACCACCGGACAGCAGAACAAAGACCCCUAGCAACACGCCGCGCAGAUGCAGAGCACGUCGAGACUGUCACAAAGUCCGGAACUGAAGGGGUAUGAGAACUGAAAGACCGGGAGGUGCGGGGUGAGCCGUUGGUGGGAGCAGAGGCUCCCCGGCCGCCCAGCGCUGCAUUUGCCCGUACUGCUUGCUUGCUAAAUUAAUAAAAUUCUCUUUAUAAAGUGACACAAAUUGGUCCCGUGUCAUAAUUUAUCACAACUUGGUGCCGUGACUCGGAUAGAGAAAUAGCCUGGUUGUUCUGGGACCCUCGGGAGGCGCCCCGCCUUUUUUUGGCGGCCCGAUUGUCCCAGACCUCCCGGUCUCUCUACCGACGAACCUAAAUUAAGCUGCGGGCAAAGGAGAACCGGUUAAAAGGAGAACCGGUUACCCCUGUAAACUUUGUGCACGAAGAUCCGAGCGAAGACGCAGGACGCAAACUGCUAUCAGAACAGCUGAGAAGGGGUGGACUCAUGCGAGCCACGUCAAAGGUCCAGUCACCACAGACGACCACUGGAAAGUGACCAGCCAGCCUGGGGACUUGGAGGUUACCAUUAAGAGAAACUAAGGAACUCUGUAUACAUCAUUCAAGUUGGUCACAAAGGGGAGCAAGAGGGAUAUAAUUACCUGCUUGUUAGUGAUUAUUUGAUAAUUUGUAAUAAGGUAAACUGUGAUUGUUAUCCUUUUGUAUGCUUUGCAUGUAAAGUUUGCCAAGAACGGUGGUGCGUCCAUUGCCCAAGGGGGAGGCUGCCCACUGGGGUUUGUACAGAAUGUUACACGACUGAACGAGAAUUAACCAAAGCUGUGUUGAAAUUAGGGGAGUGGGAAAUCAGUGGAUUCCCUUUGAAUCUGAGGAAAAUUUACACCAGAGGGGUGCAUCCAGAAAACUUUUGUUUCCACUCUAACGAGCCCCCUCCAUUUGUUGCCCAAAUUAUAAAAGGUUGUUGUCGGAGGGAACUAAAGGGGGUCCCGUGUGACCCACCCCCGGUCAAGGAUAAGAACUGGGAACAGUACAAGGUUGGGCAGGAGCAGGGGAAUGGGCGCUCAGGCGAGUACCGCUGCUGCCGAGAAGAUGGUUUACCCCGCGGCUCGAAGCACCCGAGUCGGCGGGCGAGGCAGAGGGGAAAGAGCCAGGCCCCCCAAAAAUAGAAUAAUGCUGAAAUGCUCCAACUAUUGCCAGCCAAGUACUAAGUUCCUCCAGAAGACCAGUCUGAUUACUCCAGAGACACCAACAGGGCAACAAGCCCAAAAGGGGAGAAUAGGACAUUAUACAUUAAAUGCAAGGCCAGGACUCCACCCUUAUUGGCAAAUUAUUGGUAUUACAAUGUUUUGUACCCUAUACUAAGGAGAGGGGUCCCAAGCUUUACAUCAACCUUUUAAGUGGACACUAACCCGAGUGGAUGGUGUGGGAAUUCAGAACCAGAUAACAUCCGGAUCCCCUAGUUUUAACCCACAGUUAUGUGAACUAGCCCCUAUAGAGCCUUGUUUGGAUAGAAACGGAUUUUAUAUGUGCCCAGCAUCAAACCCAGGGAAAGGGUAUUGCAACUACCCUGGAGAAUAUUUCUGUGGGCACUGGGGCUGUGAAACAAUAGCUUCAGAUUGGUCAGUAGCAGGAGAUAAAUUCCUUAAAGUAUCAUGGGAGCCUUAUGGAUAUAAACCUCCGCAGAGGGAUUCCAGUGGUGGAGUUGUGGACUUGGGGAACUGUCAUUAUUAAGGGAAGGCUAGAAGCAUCACACCUGAUGCUUAGAGCAAAAUAUGAGUCAAUACCAGAAAACCUAUAAAUGGAAGAGAUCCUAGUUAUAAGCCACCAAGAAUUACAAAGGUUUGAUGAACAAAAUGAUGAAAAGACAAAAGGGGGGAUUUGUGAAAGACAAUAGCAUAGUUUUUGUUCAUCAGGAACAAAUCCAGAGAUUGUGUAAGAUGCAGGAAACAGUGGGGCAGGAGGGCAGGAUGUACUGCUAUUAGUAGAUAGUGGAAUUGAGAGAUAUUUGAAGGCUGCGCUACCAUAUUUGGAGAAGUUAUUGCAGGGUUAACGCUACCUCGGAGGAAGAAGAAGAGGAGCUUUCCUCAAACGACCACCGGACAGCAGACAAAGACCCCUCGCAACACGCCGCGCAGAUGCAGAGCACGUCGAGAAAGUCACAAAGUCCGGAACUGAAGGGGUAUGAGAACUGAAAGACCGGGAGGUGCGGGGCGAGCCGUUGGUGGGAGCAGAGGCUCCCCGGCCGCCCAGCGCUGCAUUUGCCCGUACUGCUUGCUUGCUAAAUUAAUAAAAUUCUCUUUAUAA